UGCCCUACAGUUCCCCGUCCGGGAACAAGGAGCUGGUAUCAGGCACAUUCUACUGAGCCCAUGACACCUUGCUUAGCCACACCCUCAAGGGAACUCAGCAGUGAUAAACAUUAAGCCAUAAGUGAAAACUUGACUUAGUUAAAGCUAAGAGGGCCGGUAAAACUCGUGCCAGCCACCGCGGUUAUACGAGAGGCCCAAGUUGAUAGACGCCGGCGUAAAGAGUGGUUAAGUUAAAACUCAUACUAAAGCCAAACAUCUUCAAGGCUGUUAUACGCAACCGAAGACAGGAAGUUCAACCACGAAAGUGGCUUUACCCAAGCUGAACCCACGAAAGCUAAGGAACAAACUGGGAUUAGAUACCCCACUAUGCCUAGCCCUAAACAUUGAUAGUACCCCACACCCACUAUCCGCCCGGGAACUACGAGCAAUAGCUUAAAACCCAAAGGACUUGGCGGUGCUUUAGAUCCACCUAGAGGAGCCUGUUCUAGAACCGAUAACCCCCGUUCAACCUCACCCUUCCUUGUUUAUCCCGCCUAUAUACCGCCGUCGUCAGCUUACCCUGUGAAGGUUAAAUAGUAAGCAAAACUGGUACAACCUAAAACGUCAGGUCGAGGUGUAGCGUAUGGAGGGGGAAGAAAUGGGCUACAUUCGCUACUACAGCGAACACGAAAGAUAAGCUGAAACGCUCAUCUGAAGGAGGAUUUAGCAGUAAGU
rnacentral:rRNA from 1 species